UACGUAGGGUGCGAGCGUUGCCCGGAUUUAUUGGGCGUAAAGCGCGUGCAGGCGGCCUGUUAAGUCCGUUGUGAAAGCUCCCGGCUCAACUGGGAGAGGUCUUCGGAUACUGGCAGGCUCGAGGGAGGUAGAGGAAGGUGGAAUUCCCGGUGUAGUGGUGAAAUGCGUAGAGAUCGGGAGGAACACCAGUGGCGAAGGCGGCCUUCUGGGCCUUUCCUGACGCUGAGACGCGAAAGCGUGGGGAGCGAACCGG
rnacentral:rRNA from 1 species